rnacentral:tRNA from 1 species
AGCAGAGUAGUAUAAGAAGUACAGCGGGCUCAUACCCUGAGAGUGGGACUAAAACCCUUCUGCUU